rnacentral:rRNA from 1 species
CAGCCGCCGCGGUAAUUCGGAGGGCGCGAGCGUUGUCCGGAUUCACUGGGCGUAAAGCGGGUGUAGGCGGCCUGUUAAGUCAGGGGUGAAAGACCGGGGCUCAACCCCGGGGGUGCCUCUGAAACUGGCGGGCUUGAGUGCUCUAGAGGGCAGUGGAAUUCCCGGUGUAGCAGUGAAAUGCGUAGAGAUCGGGAGGAACACCAGUGGCGAAGGCGGCUGCCUGGGGAGUCACUGACGCUGAGGCGCGAAAGCUAGGGGAGCAAACAGGAUUAGAUACCCUGGUAGUCCUAGCCGUAAACGAUGAGCGCUAUGUGUGAGGGGUAUCGACCCCCCUCGUGCAGUAGCUAACGCAUUAAGCGCUCCGCCUGGGGAGUACGGCCGCAAGGUUGAAACUUAAAGGAAUUGGCGGG